rnacentral:tRNA from 2 species
GCCGAAGUGGCGGAAUGGCAGACGCGGCGGUCUCAAAAACCGCUGCCCGCAAGGGCGUGUGGGUUCGACUCCCACCUUCGGCACCC